rnacentral:rRNA from 1 species
AUUGAACGCUGGCGGCAGGCCUAACACAUGCAAGUCGAGCGGAUGAAGAGAGCUUGCUCUCUGAUUUAGCGGCGGACGGGUGAGUAAUGCCUAGGAAUCUGCCUAUUAGUGGGGGACAACAUUCCGAAAGGAAUGCUAAUACCGCAUACGUCCUACGGGAGAAAGCAGGGGAUCUUCGGACCUUGCGCUAAUAGAUGAGCCUAAGUCGGAUUAGCUAGUUGGUGGGGUAAAGGCCUACCAAGGCGACGAUCUGUAGCGGGUCUGAGAGGAUGAUCCGCCACACUGGGACUGAAACACGGCCCAGACUCCUACGGGAGGCAGCAGUGGGGAAUAUUGGACAAUGGGCGGAAGCCUGAUCCAGCCAUGCCGCGUGUGUGAAGAAGGCCUUUUGGUUGUAAAGCACUUUAAGCGAGGAGGAGGCUCUUAAGGUUAAUACCCUUGAUGAGUGGACGUUACUCGCAGAAUAAGCACCGGCUAACUCUGUGCCAGCCGCCGCCGUAACAC